rnacentral:rRNA from 1 species
AAGCAGGGGAUCGCAAGACCUUGCGCUUUUGGAGCGGCCGAUGCCUGAUUAGCUAGUUGGUAGGGUAAUGGCUUACCAAGGCGACGAUCAGUAGUUGGUCUGAGAGGACGACCAGCCACACUGGGACUGAGACACGGCCCAGACUCCUACGGGAGGCAGCAGUGGGGAAUUUUGGACAAUGGGCGAAAGCCUGAUCCAGCAAUGCCGCGUGAGUGAAGAAGGCCUUCGGGUUGUAAAGCUCUUUCAGUCGAGAAGAAAAGGUCGCGACUAAUAAUCGCGACUCAUGACGGUAUCGACAGAAGAAGCACCGGCUAACUACGUGCCAGCAGCCGCGGUAAUACGUAGGGUGCGAGCGUUAAUCGGAAUUACUGGGCGUAAAGGGUGCGCAGGCGGCUUUGUAAGUCAGAUGUGAAAUCCCCGGGCUUAACCUGGGAAUUGCGUUUGAAACUACAAAGCUAGAGU